rnacentral:rRNA from 1 species
CUGAUGCGCCAUGCCGCGUGUGUGAAGAAGGCCUUCGGGUUGUAAAGCACUUUCAGUCGUGAGGAAGGUAGUGUAGUUAAUAGCUGCAUUAUUUGACGUUAGCGACAGAAGAAGCACCGGCUAACUCCGUGCCAGCAGCCGCGGUAAUACGGAGGGUGCGAGCGUUAAUCGGAAUUACUGGGCGUAAAGCGCAUGCAGGUGGUUUGUUAAGUCAGAUGUGAAAGCCCGGGGCUCAACCUCGGAAUAGCAUUUGAAACUGGCAGACUAGAGUACUGUAGAGGGGGGUAGAAUUUCAGGUGUAGCGGUGAAAUGCGUAGAGAUCUGAAGGAAUACCGGUGGCGAAGGCGGCCCCCUGGACAGAUACUGACACUCAGAUGCGAAAGCGUGGGGAGCAAACAGGAUUAGAUACCCUGGUAGUCCACGCCGUAAACGAUGUCUACUUGGAGGUUGUGGCCUUGAGCCGUGGCUUUCGGAGCUAACGCGUUAAGUAGACCGCCUGGGGAGUACGGUCGCAAGAUUAAAACUCAAAUGAAUUGACGGGGGCCCGCACAAGCGGUGGAGCAUGUGGUUUAAUUCGAUGCAACGCGAAGAACCUUACCUACUCUUGACAUCCAGAGAACUUUCCAGAGAUGGAUUGGUGCCUUCGGGAACUCUGAGACAGGUGCUGCAUGGCUGUCGUCAGCUCGUGUUGUGAAAUGUUGGGUUAAGUCCCGCAACGAGCGCAACCCUUAUCCUUGUUUGCCAGCGAGUAAUGUCGGGAACUCCAGGGAGACUGCCGGUGAUAAACCGGAGGAAGGUGGGGACGACGUCAAGUCAUCAUGGCCCUUACGAGUAGGGCUACACACGUGCUACAAUGGCGCAUACAGAGGGCGGCCAACUUGCGAAAGUGAGCGAAUCCCAAAAAGUGCGUCGUAGUCCGGAUUGGAGUCUGCAACUCGACUCCAUGAAGUCGGAAUCGCUAGUAAUCGUGGAUCAGAAUGCCACGGUGAAUACGUUCCCGGGCCUUGUACACACCGCCCGUCACACCAUGGGGAGUGGGCUGCAAAAGAAGUAGGUAGUUUAACCUUCCGGGGGGACGCUUACCACUUUGUGGUUCAUGACUGGGGUGAGCGC